rnacentral:rRNA from 1 species
GACGAACGCUGGCGGCGUGCUUAACACAUGCAAGUCGAACGGAAAGGCCCUGCUUGCAGGGUACUCGAGUGGCGAACGGGUGAGUAACACGUGGGUGAUCUGCCCUGCACUUCGGGAUAAGCCUGGGAAACUGGGUCUAAUACCGGAUAGGAGCCAUUUUUAGUGUGAUGGUUGGAAAGUUUUUUCGGUGUAGGAUGAGCUCGCGGCCUAUCAGCUUGUUGGUGGGGUAAUGGCCUACCAAGGCGGCGACGGGUAGCCGGCCUGAGAGGGUGGACGGCCACAGUGGGACUGAGAUACGGCCCAGACGCCUACGGGAGGCAGCAGUGGGGAAUAUUGCACAAUGGGCGCAAGCCUGAUGCAGCGACGCCGCGUGGGGGAUGACGGCCUUCGGGUUGUAAACUCCUUUCGCUAGGGACGAAGCUUUUUGUGACGGUACCUAGAUAAGAAGCACCGGCUAACUACGUG